UUUGGUUAAGGGAGACUGGUAUGUCUGCAUAACUGUCAUAUAUGUUUCCAUAGCAGGUACUGGUUCUGGAACAACUCUCCUGCUGUUGUUACAAAGGACACUUCCAAUAUUCUAGUUAAGAAGUUGCCGUACAUUGUGUCAUGUUUAUAUAGCUUCAAAAAAGCCUCAAGGACUAUCGAUUUGCAAACAGGGAUAUCGAUUUGGUUGAUCCUAAGAAUAAAACAACAGAUAUAAGUUAGUGCUGCAAAUUCUAAAUGCCACAAGUUGCUGGAGAGGGAGCAGGUAAAGAAACACAUCAUCAUAUAUAUUUUAGCAAUAAUUCCACCAAUUUGCAUACAAAUUUAUUUCAUCAUCCUGUUAGAGCACUUA